CAGCCAGAAUCUACAGGGGCGUGGUUUGCGCGCGCGGGAACUGGGAUCUCAACCCCAGGGCUAGGUGCCUCCUCCCGCUGCUUUCCGCCAGCUGCGGGGUGUGAGAUUAAUCCCUGCCGAUUAGCGCCAGGUGUACUAAGCGCUGGAUGGUUCCCUGACCAGAUGAAACAUCAGCCGAUGUUCUAAUGCCCGUCCCCUGGGCGCUGUCCCCGAGAGGGAAAACCUGUUUUCUGACCCCGGCUCUAGUCGGCCUCUGGAGGUUUGCAGCUGGGUUAUUUUACCUCUGAAACGGACGACACCUGCCCCGCGCACCCCAGCGGCUCCUCCACACGGAGAGAUGGUGUCAGUCAAAGGCCGUCUAGAUGACGAGUUCAUGAAAUUGUUCCUGGCCCGUGCCGGGCACGACCUUGCAGAGAGCCCAGAAGAUGAAACCCCAGCCCUGCCAGGAGCUCACCUGCUAAUUAGGAGGACAACGAAUCACCUCACCUCCCUAGACUUUGCUUCUCCUUUACUCAGUGAGGGAUUGGACUAGCUGGUCCUUAAGGACUUUUCAGAAAGUCUGGUUCUGGGAGAUGACCAAUGGGAUCAUCUUAUGCUAUGAGCUUUCCUGGAAUGACAGCUCACUGGGGAAUGUUGGUGUUCUCCAGGAUUCUCAGCACUUUGCUUGGGUGCUUCUCUGCUGAAGUGGGAGAAUGGAUUCAGCCAUCACCUGCAAGCUGAUGACUCCACAUUCCCUGUUUUCUGCCCUGAGCUCUGGUGAAUCCUCAUGCUCCCAAGACUUGGAUCCACUUGGAUACGACCUUGGCAGAGCAAAACAUUCCAUGGGGGUUCCACCGUGAGAAAUGUCCUGCCCCACGACCUGACCACAAGGCACGGGAAUGUCCUUAUCAUACCCUGCCGAGCAAAGGCCCAACUGAAGGAACAUCUUUGUCAAGCAGCAAACCACGCCACCCAGACCCUUCCCACCCAUACCUAUAAGUACCCUAGCCUGUAAGCAGUGGUGGGCUCUGGCGUUAAGCUGGUGCCCCACCUCAGCAGGUUGCUCUGGC